rnacentral:misc_RNA from 1 species
GAAAUGCGAUAAGUAAUGUGAAUUGCAGAAUUCCGUGAAUCAUCGAAUCUUUGAACGCACAUUGCGCCCCCUGGUAUUCCUUGGAGCAUGCCUGUUUGAGUAUCAUGAAAUCUUCAAAGUAAAUCUUUUGUUAACUCAAUUGGUUUCUACUUUGGUAUUGGAGGUCUUUGCAGCUUCACACCUGCUCCUCUUUGUUCAUUAGCUGGAUCUCAGUGUUAUGCUUGGUUCCACUCGGCGUGAUAAGUUAUCUAUCGCUGAGGACACUGUAAAAGGUGGCCAAGGUAAAUGCAGAUGAACCGCUUCUAAUAGUCCAUUGACUUGGACAAUACUUUUAUGAUCUGAUCUCAAAUCAGGUAGGACUACCCGCUGAACUUAAGC